GAGAAGAUGGUGAAAAAAUCAUUCAACAUUGUCGUUGUUGUGUUGUACUUGUGGUGGGUGCUCUUCUUU
rnacentral:tRNA from 1 species